GUCAGGAUGGCCGAGUGGUCUAAGGCGCCAGACUCAAGUUCUGGUCUCCAAAUGGAGGCGUGGGUUCAAAUCCCGCUCCUGACA
rnacentral:tRNA from 1 species